rnacentral:rRNA from 1 species
CAGGAUGAACGCUAGCGACAGGCUUAACACAUGCAAGUCGAGGGGCAGCGGGGGAGUGGCAACACUUCCGCCGGCGACCGGCGCACGGGUGAGUAACACGUAUGAAACCUGCCCGCAGCAGGGGGAUAAGCGGAAGAAAUUCCGUCUAAUACCGCGUAACAACCGACGGGGGCAUCCCUGUUGGUUCAAAGGAGCGAUCCGGCUGCGGAUGGUCAUGCGGCGCAUUAGCUAGUUGGCGGGGCAACGGCCCACCAAGGCGACGAUGCGUAGGGGUUCUGAGAGGAAGGUCCCCCACACUGGUACUGAGAUACGGACCAGACUCCUACGGGAGGCAGCAGUGAGGAAUAUUGGUCAAUGGCCGAGAGGCUGAACCAGCCAAGUCGCGUGAGGGAUGACGGCCCUACGGGUUGUAAACCUCUUUUGCCGGGGAGCAAGGAGCGGGACGCGUCCCGCCUCGAGAGUACCCGGAGAAAAAGCAUCGGCUAACUCCGUGCCAGCAGCCGCGGUAAUACGGAGGAUGCGAGCGUUAUCCGGAUUUAUUGGGUUUAAAGGGUGCGCAGGCGGAAGCGCAAGUCAGCGGUAAAAUUGAGAGGCUCAACCUCUUCCCGCCGUUGAAACUGCGUUUCUUGAGUGGGCGAGAAGUACGCGGAAUGCGUGGUGUAGCGGUGAAAUGCAUAGAUAUCACGCAGAACUCCGAUUGCGAAGGCAGCGUACCGGCGCCCAACUGACGCUCAUGCACGAAAGCGUGGGUAUCGAACAGGAUUAGAUACCCUGGUAGUCCACGCAGUAAACGAUGAAU